CCUACGGGUGGCUGCAGUAGGGAAUUUUCCACAAUGGACGAAAGUCUGAUGGAGCAACGCCGCGUGCAGGAUGAAUGCCUUCGGGUUGUAAACUGCUUUUAUAUGUGAAGAUUAUGACGGUAGCAUAUGAAUAAGGAUCGGCUAACUCCGUGCCAGCAGCCGCGGUCAUACGGAGGAUCCAAGCGUUAUCCGGAAUUACUGGGCGUAAAGAGUUGCGUAGGCGGCAUAGUAAGUAGGUAGUAAAAGCCUGGGGCUCAACCCCUUAAAUAUUAUCU
rnacentral:rRNA from 1 species